rnacentral:rRNA from 1 species
GACGAACGCUGGCGGCGUGCUUAACACAUGCAAGUCGAACGGAAAGGCCCCUUUGGGGGUACUCGAGUGGCGAAAGGGUGAGUAACACGUGAGUAACCUGCCCUUGACUUCGGGAUAACUUUAGGAAAAUGGGGCUAAUACCGGAUAGGAAUCCUUGCUGCAUGGUGGGGGUUGGAAAGUUUCGGCGGUUUUGGAUGGACUUGCGGCUUAGCAGCUUGUUGGUGUGGUAGUGGCUUAACAAGGCUGUGACGGGUAGCCGGACUGAGUGGGCGACCGGCCACAUUGAGACUGAGAUACGGCCCAGACUCCGACGGGAGGCAGCAGUGGGGAAGAUUGCACAAGAGGCGGAAGCCAGAUGCAGCAACGCCGCGUGCGGGAGGACGGCCUUCGGGUUGUAAACCGCUUUCAGCAGGGGCGAAGCUUGUGGUGACGGUACCUGCAGAAGAAGCACCGGCUAACUACGUG